rnacentral:rRNA from 1 species
GAAGAUUCUGAACUGAACUUCGACAACCCGCUGAAUUUAAGCAUAUUAUUAAGUGGUGGAAAGGAAACUAACUAUGAUUCCCUUAGUAACUGCGAGUGAACAGGGAAGAGCCCAGCGCCGAAUCCCCGCUCACCUGACAAGUGAGGGAAAUGUGGGUAUAGAAGUCCUUUCUCUGACGAUGCCAAGACACCCAAGUCCUCCUGAUCGAGGCCUAGCCUGAGGCCGAUGGUGGCGCACGGCUCGUCGGGAUUGGGUCUUCUUGGAGUCGGGUUGCUUGUGAAUGCAGCCCAAAGCGGGUGGUAAACUCCAUCUAAGGCUAAAUACUGGCACGAGACCGAUAGUCAACAAGUACCAUAAGGAAAAGUUGAAAAGAACUUUGAAGAGAGAGUUCAAGAGGGCGUGAAACUGUUAACAGGUAAAUGGGUGGGGUUUGUGCACUCCGUCCGGAGGGUUCAACUUGGCGGCUCUAGUCGGUCACGUUGGGGGUCUGGCGGAUCUCCUUUGCUGGGACUGCUCCCCGCGCAGGCAUGGCUGUCGCCGUGCGUAUUUCCUCCACUGGUGGUGCGCCACGACCAGCUUUGGGUCGGCUGGGAAAGCCGGUGACCUUGGAAGGUGGCUCACCGCUCCGUGUUAUAGUUCCCUGGUACCAUCCUUCGCUGUACCCCCGGAGUCGAGAGAAGCGAUCGCUGCCCCGCCCUCCCGCCACCCUCCUCAGGGUGUGCGCGGAACCGCGUGUGGCGAGCGGGCUCGCCGUGCUCCCGGUGGGACUGUUGACCGGGAUGUACUGCCCACAGUGCACCCUAACCGCGUCUGCCACCGAGUCGGACCGUGCCACGCCGAGCUGGCGCCAGAGGUCUGCGGCAAUGUCGGUAACCCACCCUACCCAUCUUGAAACGCGGACCAAGGAGUCUAACACGUGCAUGAGUCAAAGGGCUGUAACGAAACCCCAUGGCGAAAUGAAGGUGAAAGUCGACAAGGAUCGGUCGAGGUGGGAUCCUGCCCCCCGUGCGGUAGGCGCACCACCGGCCCAUCUCACCCGCACCGUCGGGGAGGUGGAGCAUGAGUGCGUGUGUUAGGACCCGAAAGAUGGUGAACUAUGCCUGGGUAGGGCGAAGCCAGCGGAAACUCUGGUGCAGGUCCGUAGCGGUCCUGACGUGCAAAUUGGUCGUCUGACCUAGGUAUAGGGGCAAAAGACUAAUUGAACCAUCUAGUAGCUGGUUCACUCCAAAGUUUCCCUCAGGAUAGCUGGUGCUCGUUUCACCUGCAGUUUAACUUGGUAAAGUGAAUGGUUAGAGGUCUUGGGGCCAAAACGAUCUCAACUUAUUCUCAAACUUUAAAUGUGUAAGAAGCCUGACUUGCUGGCUUGGAGCCGGGUGUGGAAUGAGUACACCCAGUGGGCCACUUUUGGUAAGCAGAACUGGCGCUGUGAGAUGAACCGAACGCUGGGUUAAGGCUGGUGCAGAUGCUCAUCAGACCCCAAAAAGGUGUUGGUUGAUAUAGACAGCAGGACGGUGGUCAUGGAAGUCGCAAUCCACUAAGGAGUGUGUAACAAUCAACUAGCCUUGAAAACGGAUGGCGCUGGAGCUUUGGACCCAUACCCGGCCGUCGCUGACAAUGUAGAGCCCACGGGGGCUAAGCUGUGACGAGUAGGAGGGCCGCUGCGGUGAGCCCGUGGGCCUGGGUGGAGCUGCCGCAGGUGCACAACUUGGUGGUAGUAGCAAAUAUUCAAACGAGAACUUUGUAGGCCGAAGUGAAGGGUUCCACGUGAACAGCAGUUGAACAUGGGUCAAUCGGUCCUAAGAGAUAGGUGACUGCCAUUCCGAAGGGACGGGCAAUGGCCUCUGUUGCCCUCAGCCGAUGGAAAGGGAGUCGGGUUCAGAUCCCCGAAUCCAGAGUGGCAGAGAUGGGCGCCUCACAGCGUCCAGUGCAAUAAUGCAAACGAUCCCGGAGAAGCCGAGAGGAGCCCCGAGAGAGUUCUCUUUUCUUUGUGAAGGGCAGGGCACCCUGGUAUGGUUUGACCCGAGAGAGGGACCCGUGACUUGGAAAAUGUCACGGUUCCAGCAACGUCCAGUGAGCUCUCGUUGGCCCUUGAAAAUCUGGGAGAGAUGGUGUAAAUCUCACGCUGGGCCGCACCCAUAUCCGUAGCAGGUCUCCAAGGUGAACAGCCUCUGGCAUAUUAGAACAACGUAGGUAAGGGAAGUCAGCAAGUCAGAUCCGUAACUUUGGGAUAAGGAUUGACUCGAAGGGCUGGGUCGGUCGGGCUGGGGUGCUAAGCGGGGCUGGGCACGUGCCACGGCUGGAUGAGGCGCCGCCCCUCCUGGGGACCAUUGGCGACUCUGGUCGCGCGUCGAGCCCUUCCUGUGGAUCGCCCAGCUGCGGUGCCUGUUUAGCAGCUGACCUUAGAACUGGUGUGGACCAGGGGAAUCCGACUGUUUAAUUAAAACAAAGCAUCGCGAAGGCCGCAGGGUGGUGUUGAUGCGAUGUGAUUUCUGCCCAGUGCUCUGAGUGACAGUGAAGAAAUUCAAUGAAGCGUGGGUAAAUGGCAGGAGUAACUAUGACUCUCUUAGGGGAUCUUGGGGGAUGUGACCACAAAGAUUUUGGUUGGUCUCCCAACUGUGCCUGAGUAGUCACCUUCACAGUUGUUUUUACGUAUUUUUAUCUACUAUGAAGUUGAUUGAACCGUCACGUGGAUCCCCCCUGGUAAUGGCCUGGCUGAGGAAACUCAAUAACGGGUGAGUUGUUUUUGUUAAUUCAGAGCAGUUUUGUCGGUGCUGAUUUUAUCAUUGAUUUUAUCCAGUGCUGAUUUUAACUGCGAUGGGCAGGGCAAUUUUAACUAAUUCUUCCGGUUGCUACAGUAUUACUCUUAUCAGGCCGGCAAAUAUGACCUUGAGAAGAAAUACGAGACGGCUGUUGACCUUCGGUCAUUUUUGCGUUAAAAUCCUGUUAGCUUUGAGGCGAUUAUGCUAAACUCCUUAAUCUCUGGUUGGGUGGGAAACCAGGAAAAUAACCGCCCCACAUGGUUGCUAUUGGCAGCAUUAGCCAGAUAAGGAAUAUGUCGUCUGUUUGAACCCAAACGGAAGAGACCUUAACAGUACUCCCUGUUAGGUUGUGUUCGGGCAGGCACGAAACAGCCAAGUUAGUGACAGAGAGGGAUCAUGACAAAAUCAUAUACUCCUGUGAGAAGGCCCCUCUAGGAGCAGAAAUGUUAGACACAACGAUAUUUUAUAACACAAAUGUUAAAGGGUCUAUGGAUUUUAUUAACUGCAGAGAGCACAGAGCU